rnacentral:rRNA from 1 species
UACGGGGGGGGCAAGCGUUGUUCGGAAUUACUGGGCGUAAAGGGCUCGUAGGCGGCCAACUAAGUUUGACGUGAAAGCUCCCGGCUUAACUGGGAGAGGUCGUUGAAUACUGGAAGACUUGAGGCAAUGAGAGGGGUGUAGAAUUCCCGGUGUAGUGGUGGAAUGCGUAGAUAUCGGGGGGAAUACCAGUGGCGAAAGCGGCACCCUAGCGUUAGCCUGACGCUCAUGUGCGAAAGCGUGGGGAGCGAACGGG